rnacentral:rRNA from 1 species
AGUGAACGCUGGCGGUAGGCCUAACACGUGCAAGUCGAACGGCAGCACAGAGGAGCUUGCUCCUUGGGUGGCGAGUGGCGGACGGGUGAGGAAUACAUCGGAAUCUACUCUGUCGUGGGGGAUAACGUAGGGAAACUUACGCUAAUACCGCAUACGACCUACGGGUGAAAGCAGGGGAUCUUCGGACCUUGCGCGAUUGAAUGAGCCGAUGUCGGAUUAGCUAGUUGGCGGGGUAAAGGCCCACCAAGGCGACGAUCCGUAGCUGGUCUGAGAGGAUGAUCAGCCACACUGGAACAGAGACACGGUCCAGACUCCUACGGGAGGGAGCAGUGGGGAAUAGUGGACAAUGGGCGCAAGCCUGAUUCAGCCAUACCGCGUGGGUGAAGAAGGCCUUCGGGUUGUAAAGCCCUUUUGUUGGGAAAGAAAUCCAUCUGGUUAAUACCCGGGUGGGAUGACGGUACCCAAAGAAUAAGCACCGGCUAACUUCGUGCCAGCCGCCGCAGUAA